rnacentral:rRNA from 1 species
UGCUAACUAGAUAGCCCCCCCCCCAACAAAAACAACAAACCCCCAUAAAUUAACCCCAAAUACACAAAACCACAUAAACUAAACCAUUAUUCCCUCUCCUAGUAUAGGCGAUAGAAAAGAGGCUCGUGGAGCAAUAGAAAAAGUACCGUAAGGGAACACUGAAAAAGAGAUGAAACAGCCCAGUGAAGCACAAAAAAGCAGAGAUUAAACCUCGUACCUUUUGCAUCAUGACCUAGCCAGAACAUUUCAAGCAAAGAGAACUUUAGUUUGAUACCCCGAAACUAAGUGAGCUACUCCAAGACAGCCUAAUAAUAGGGCCAACCCGUCUCUGUGGCAAAAGAGUGGGAAGAGCUUUGAGUAGGGGUGACAGACCUAUCGAACUUAGUUAUAGCUGGUUGCCUGAGAACUGGAUAGAAGUUCAGCUUCGUAACUCCUCCAUUCAUCUUUCCUUGACCAACAUCUUGGCCCGUGUGGAUAUCUCAGAGGAAUUACGAGAGUUAGUCAAAGGGGGUACAGCCCCUUUGAAUAUAGACACAACUUUUUCAGAAGGAUAAAGCUUAAAAUAGACCAAGGAAAAAUGUUCUGGUGGGCCUAAGAGCAGCCAUCCAAUAGAAAGCGUUAAAGCUCGAACAUAACCCCCUCCCCCUAUUCCUAUAAACCAGCCUUAAUCCCCUACUUUUACCAGGCCGUCCCAUGCAAACAUGGGAACGAUAAUGCUAGAAUGAGUAAUAAGAGAGCAAAAACCCCUCUCUCCACGCACACGUGUAAAUCGGAGCGGACCAACCACCGAACCUUAACGGCCCUAAACAAAGAGGGAACUGAGAAACGAUUUCGGCCAACCAGACAACCCCCCAAUAUAACCCCGUUAACCCUACACUGGUGUGCCCUUAAGGAAAGACUAAAAGAAAAAGAAGGAACUCGGCAAACACAUAAAGCCUCGCCUGUUUACCAAAAACAUCGCCUCUUGAAAACCAAACAUAAGAGGUCCUGCCUGCCCACUGAUAAAUGAUUCAACGGCCGCGGUAUUUUGACCGUGCGAAGGUAGCGUAAUCACUUGUCUUUUAAAUGAAGACCCGUAUGAACGGCAAGACGAGGGCUUAACUGUCUCCUUUUUUAAGUCAAUGAAAUUGAUCUCCCCGUGCAGAAGCGGGGAUCAGACCAUAAGACGAGAAGACCCUAUGGAGCUUUAGACACCAUGACAGACCAUGUUGAGACCUCCUUACACACAAGGACUCUUUAAUGACCACUACUGUCCAGAUGUCUUCGGUUGGGGCGACCCUGGGGAAACAAAUAACCCCCGUGUGGACUGGGAGCAAUUGAAUUUACCCGGAUAUUCCUUAUCUACCAUCUCUCUCCUCCCACAAUUAAGAGCCGCAACUCUAGCUAGCAGAACCUCUGACCUACCAUGAUCCGGCAAAGCCGAUCAACGGACCAAGUUACCCUAGGGAUAACAGCGCAAUCCCCUUCUAGAGCCCAUAUCGACAAGGGGGUUUACGACCUCGAUGUUGGAUCAGGACAUCCUAAUGGCGCAACCGCUAUUAAGGGUUCGUUUGUUCAACGAUUAAAGUCCUACGUGAUCUGAGUUCAGACCGGAGUAAUCCAGGUCAGUUUCUAUCUAUGAAAUGAAUCUUUUCUAGUACGAAAGGACCGGAAAGAAGAG